rnacentral:lncRNA from 1 species
AUGUCUCCAAAGACUUCCAACUCCAAAAGAAAGACAUGCGCCUGUAAAGGUGUUCCUAACAUUACUCCUAAGAAGCAAGGCAAACACUUGAGCACGGCUAACAGAGGAGACCCGGCAUGGAAGCGCCGGCUCUCUGCAGUUGCACGUCCUCGGAAACGUCUACGUCUGAAUCCGCGGCCCCAGCUUCCUCCAGGCCCCAGGCCCCAGCAGCGGAGCAUCACAGCACAUUCCGAACCGAAAGGAAAGGAAGCCUCCUCUCCCGCAAGGGAUGCUCCAAUGCGCUCAGAAGUGUCCGCUCCCCGGGAGAACCGAACCCCGAAACACGCCCCGGUGCCUCUCACCCGCGUUUCAAGACAGCGGAAGCCGAAAUGUCAAAUGAAUGACCGCGCCGGGGCGCGAGCGAGGACAACAAAGCCCCGGCCCGCCGUCCGGGGGCUGCGGCCGCGCACUCACCUGGCCGGCUGGCCGGGCCGGGCCGGGCCGCGGGCGGGAGGGCGCCCCGCAGUCGGCCCGCAGUCGCCCGGGCCCGCGGCCCCGCGCCCUCCGGCCGCUCGGCGCGCGCCGCGGGGACAACAGGCGGCCGGGGGCGCCGCCGUGCGUCGCAUGCAGCUCCCGGCGCCGAGGGACCCUGCGCUGCAGACCCCGAGCCCGCGACCCGAGGCGGCGACGAGAGAGACGCGGCGCGGGCAGAGGCGCCCGGCGCGCCCUCAGCGGCCCGUCCCGCCGCCCUGCGCCGCGCGCGGGCCCUCGGCUCGCCUUUGUGCUGGCAUCCUCCUUGGCCGCCGGCGCCCCUCGGCGCUCCCCGGCCGCCCCGCGCCGCCCGCCCCGGGCUACGCCGCGCCCCCCGCGCGCCCCGCCGAUCGUGUCGAGUCAGCAGCGGCGGCGGCGGGGACGCGCGAAGCCAUGGCUCCCGCCCGCGCUCCGAGGUCCCCGCUCGCGGGCGCUCGCUCUCCAGGCGUCGCCCGCGAGCAGCGCGCCGGCCCGCCGGGCCCCCUCGCGCCGCUCCCCGCCUGCCGGCCGGCCGCCCGCCGCCCCCUUUCCCCGGCUCGCAGGGGCGAAGGCUUCGGCCCGCUCACCUCCGGCGCCCCUCCCACGAGCCGCCCGCGCGCCAUGGGCCCGCGCCUCCCUGCGGGGCGCCGGGCUGGGGGCGUCCUGCACGUCGGGGACCAGGGGAAGAGAGGCGGGGGCGAGGGGGACGGAAGGGACAGCCAAACCUGGGCCAGCUGGACCUGCCCGAGGAAGGUGCGGGAGAGCGGGCGGGUGCUGCGGAGCGGAGGACGAAUCCCGAGGCUGCGGCGGAGCCGAGCUGCUCUCCUUCUGCGACGCCGAAGGACAUGA